AUUCCUAAGUCAAGUCUUUGCUGUUACCGUCAAUAACUGCUAACUCAGAGGAUGCAACCUUAGUAAUUCAUUUCCUUAAUGGCCAGUUUCACAAAGAGCCUGCAGGAAGCUGCUUCCAGCAGGCUGAGUCCUGAGGAGGAGACGAUAACAGUGGGAGAAGCACCUGGUAACAGUGGCACUUCAUCCAGGAAGAAAACAGGAUCUAAAAUACAAACAACAUCCUUACAACACAAAAUAUGAGCCUCUAUCAUGGACCAACUAAUAACUUCAAUAAAAGUGUGAUAAAUGCUGUAUCCCUGGCAGACGAUAAGUAUCUUCAAGAUGGUG